AAGUCAAUGACCUUUCCGUUAACUGGCUUUAUACGUUCCUAGAAAGAGAUUACAAUGAGUCGUUCAGUUUCUCUUUGAAUUUUUGAACUCUUUCAUAAACGACCCGAAAGAAUUUUUAUAUUUAUUUGAGUAUCCACCGAGGUCAAGGUGAUAAAUCACAAUUCAUAUGGUAGCUUACGUUCGCACUCAAAAUGUUCCCACGUACAGUAUUUUUUUAAAAUUGCCUUGCAGCAUAAAAGCUCGCCUUGUGAUUGUCACACUUUCCAAUAACCAAUCAAACGCGAUUAUUUUCGCGCCUGGUACGUGUUCGUUUUUCAGCGUCACGCCAUCGCUAUGGAUCAGCACUCAAUCCCCCCGCACUCAAUCUACGACCAUAAAAACAGUUCUCGAACUGAAAGACAUUGAAUUGUUCGGACUCAUUUUGUGAUACCUUCUGUAAAUCGCAUCUCAAGAAAGGGACUCAAAGCUUGCUCAAUAAGAACAGGUGACUUGUAGUAAAUUUAGAAGUUGGAGAGAUGAAAUGACUGUAUUUGUGUAAACAGACAGUUAACCAUGGAAGAAGCCAGCCAAGAGGAAACACCGUUCUACUAAUUGUGGACAAUUAAUAUCAAUAAAAUGUCAAUGGAUUUGAGAAGUACAAGACGAAGACGAAAUCGAUGUUGUGAGCGUAACCGGGGACAAAACAGAAAAAAAGACCACCAGUUUAAAAUCAGAC
rnacentral:misc_RNA from 1 species